GCUAAUCAUGGGCAAGUCCAGCGGCGCCAGUUUCCUCAGUAAAUUCAAAGGACUUACUCGGAGUGGACGAGCCCACAAGGUUCCCUCCCGACUAUGCGAGGAUGACACCUCAUAGGGAGGUGGAGGGGUCGGGGGAGGAGACCCUAGAGGAGGAGGCGGUGGGGGAGAGCCCCUAGAGGAGGAGGCGGUGGGGGGAGAGGCAGCCGGGGCAAAAAACUCCGGGCCGUGUCCGAAAUAGGAGGGUCUUCUUCGAUGCCCUCCUAUACAGAGGCACCUUCUGAGUCUGAGGAGGAGGAGUAUGUUCCUGAUGGUGAGGAGGAGGAGGCCGAGGAGGAGGAGGUCGAGGAGGAGGGUGAGGAGGAGGGCGAGGAGGGUGGUGGAGGGGAGGUUGAUCCCGAGUUGUGGGGUGACUUGCCACCCGGUGCUCCGCAGGGGUGGCUGCGUGGUAAUGCCGGACUACCUACACCACCUUCUAUCGAGGCGCACAAGUGGCUCAUUGAACCUGCGGGGACAGAAACCUGGAUCCUUCGCGGAAAGGGCCGUAAACCGAGCGGCCUUAUCACUGUCCUGUUGAAGGAGUUUUGGCCUGGCCUAUUCUGCCCGCGGCCAGACAGGGACCCGCAGCUGCGGGUUUUGGCCACGAGCUGGGCCCACUACGAGGCUUGCAGCAACGCGGAGUACGGGACGGCCGCUAAGGCCGUGAUCACCAAAUUUUGGCAACUCUAUAGAGUUCUUGAUGAGCACAAGGCCAGAGCCGACUUAGUCUUGCUUGCGGCUGCGAAGAAGAAAGCUCGUCAGUUGUAGUACGAGGUGCGCUGGGUUGCCGUCUCGUAGUACUACCACAUCUACCUGCAACAAAAGAUGACCAAAACUCAAGCGCAGAAGCAACGACUUACCUUGAACAGGGAGCAGUUCAUGAUGGUUGUUCCUCGUUGGUGCUAUGGAAGGCAUGAUGGAUGGGCGAGUUUGGUGGAUAGGUGGCUCGGCGACGAUGCAGAGUUUGCUGCCAAGAGCAUCAAGGCCCGGGCUAACUGUGGAAAAGACGGGACACACGGCCAAGGAAACAGGAACCACCGGGUCUUCAUGGCCAUGAAGAUAUAUCUAUAUGCAUGAUGCAUUUUUGUUCUUCUUUACCGUCAUGUUCUUAUGUAUGGCUAACUUCUAUUUGACGUUGCAGGAGGACAAGUUGAAGAGGCCGCUCUCAGACAUUGAGUCAUGGAAGCUGGCCCGCGAGCGGAGUCAUCCCAAGGAGGGAGAGAGCCAGUACUACGGCAAGACCGAGGAGCACCUGGAGUCUUACACUCAGCACUAUCAGAAGUUGCAUCCGGAUGUUCCUGAGGUCGCCCAGUCUCAGAUCAACGACACAGUGGUGGUGGCCAUCCAGGGGAAGUCACAUGACCGGUAUCCAUGUUUCGAUGGCUUGAUCACUCCUUCGAUCUCGUACACAUGGCUUCGGUCUACCAACCCGAGCCAGUUAGAGAGUACGAGGUGUUCACAGACUCCCUUAGCCCGCCAGCAUGCUAUAAGCAUAUAAGGCCUUUGUCGAGCAUAGGAAUCUCGAGGUGCGAGAGUACUUGCAACGAGUGAAGGCAAACGAUGAUUACAACCGUCAGAUGAUGGCAGCUAUGUUGGCGUCUUGGAGUAACUGCACGGAUCCUCCACAAAUGGGACCCCCACCACCACCUGCGGGAGAACCCCCACACGUGCCCACGUUCGAUGAAUGGGUGGCACUAGGAAGUGAUAGUCCGGGGACCGGUGGCUCGACUCCUGCUCCGUCGACCCUAGUCACUCCGAUCUUCCAGAGUGAUGGUGGUCGCGGUGGCGGUUUUGGCGGAGGUGGUCUUAGCGGUGGUGCUUUUGGCGAAAAGGUGGUCUUGGUGGUGGUGCUUUUGGCGGAGGUGGUCUUGGUGGUGGUGGUUUUGGCGGAGGUGGUCUUGUUUGAUGUCGAUGAUGAUUCCGUGCAUUUGGCCGUCAUGCCAUGCCUUUCAUGUUCCUACUUUUAUUAUGUUCCAUGUCUUGCACUUGUUUUAUGUUCAUGAACUUUCGCUAGUGAUGAUCUUUAGAUGAUGAUGAUGAACUUGAGUAUGUUUAGAUGA